UACAGAGGGUGCGAGCGUUGUUCGGAAUUACUGGGCGUAAAGCGCGCGCAGGCGGCCCUUUAAGUCCGCUGGUGAAAGACCGGGGCUCAACCCCGUUGUCAGCCAGGGAUACUGGAGGGCUGGAGACAGGUAGAGGCAAGCGGAAUUCCGGGUGUAGCGGUGGAAUGCGUAGAUAUCCGGAAAGAACACCGGUGGCGAAGGCGGCCAACUGGACCAUUACUGACGCUGAGGCGCGAAAGCGUGGGGAGCAAACAGG
rnacentral:rRNA from 1 species